rnacentral:rRNA from 1 species
UACGGAGGGUGCAAGCGUUAUCCGGAUUUACUGGGCUUAAAGGGUGUGUAGGCGGCCUUUUAAGUCAGCGGUGAAAUCUCCGGGCUCAACCCGGAAACUGCCAUUGAUACUAUUGGUCUUGAAUGUUGUUGAGGUGGGCGGAACGGGUCAUGUAGCGGUGAAAUGCAUAGAUAUGACCCGGAACACCGAUUGCGUAGGCAGCCCACUAAGCAACGAUUGACGCUGAGGCACGAAAGCGUGGGGAGCGAACAGG